UUAUGAGAAGUGAUUAUCUUUGUGCCUCCAUGGCGAGCAGCACCGGCUGCAUCUGGCCGCCAGCGCAUCUUUGGAAAUUUAGAAUGAUAAAAGGAAUUGGUCAGACUACAGAAAUUGUGAUGCUGAUGAGCCGCCCUGGGCCUAACCACCGUUGGUUCUGCGUUCUUCUCUGUCCAUGGAGUUUCCUGUCGUGCAUGCGUAUGGUUGAGGUCUAGGAUGUUCGUCCACAUCUUCUACACUAAUCUUUGUCGGCUUCAUCAUGAGUUCUUGUCCCAUUGUGCUAAUGGUGAUUAUCCACUGCAUUUAACACCACGUCGUGCUGUUGAAGCUUUUCUUAAUCUGAUUAAUUGAUUAUAUCUAGCCUUACAAAGAAGAUUUAAAGAGGAUGCACACAUAUUUGGACCCAGGGGUUUUGUUGACGGACCUCACUGAAAAUAUUUGUUCUCACCUGCAGCAACGCCUAUCAGAUAUUUUUCAAAAGAAAAAGCAACUGCCUUUCAGUUAAACUAGGAAUCAUUUAAUAAUUGGAGGCUUUUAUCUACAUAUGUCGACGUAAGGGGUUAGAAGAAGCAGUUCCUGAGGGUCCUGGAGAGGGAGCUGGCUGUAACUGAGAAGAUCAAAGAGUAUUUCUUUGCAGACUUCACCCAGGUGCAGAUAGUUGACGUCUGCUUUAGGUCAGAUCAGUCCAAACAACAAGCAAUUGGUUUAUGCCCUGGGGGCGUUUUGUUUGUGUGAGAUUGUUGGUGUUGAAUUCUUAGCUGCACCAUUUCCUUUCUCCGGCAGAAUGGUGCACAAGUUGCAGUGAAUGUGUUGUUGAUGUUCUGAUGCCUUGAUGGUGUGGAGCCCCUGCUCAAUGCCAAGGCGCUGCAGAGGUCUGAUUCAGGACAGACAAAGUAGGAGACCUGCAGCCCUGCCUGGUGGCUACAACAUCCCCCAUCAACACUUAGGGCACUGUAGUGAUCUGAAAUGAAGACUUUAUUUCUGCGGGUACUGCCAGCUAUGGCCAUUGAUGCUGCGAGCAGCGAUGAUGGUGCGGCGGGGCCGAAGGUGCUGCCAGGGACAGGAAACGGUGCUGCAAGCGACAUGCGACAGUGCUGCCAAAAACGGCCAGGGAUACUACGAGAGGCAGCUGGGGGUGUUACCAGCCGUGGCCGAUUUCUGUGCGUGUGUUGAGUUGUCGGUGUGGGUUCACGCUUGUUGACCUUUUUUUCUCCAGCAGAAAGUACAAUUGGGUGGAGGAGUCAAGUGCGGAUCAGCUGGCCAUGAGAGACUCGAUUUUACUGCAGAAGGUGGAGGAAUUGGGUUUACGAUCCCCUGAAAGACGCCAUCCAUUAAUAUUGUGAGAUUGUUCCUAUUCACAACGAGACCAAUGAUGGUCAGUUAUAUGGGCGUGAAGUUUAGCUGGCUUGUUGAAAAUCAUUAUGACUGUUCUGAUGCACUCUUUUGCUCGCUUAGAGCUGAUGUUGAUCCUUAACAACUGAUGUUAUAUUUAGUGCUAAAUGAUAUGUAAUCUAAAUACAUGUUUUUU